CAGCCGCCACGGUAAUACGAAGGGUGCAAGCGUUAAUCGGAAUUACUGGGCGUAAAGGGUGCGUAGGCGGUGGUUUAAGUCCGUUGUGAAAGCCCUGGGCUCAACCUGGGAAUUGCAGUGGAUACUGGGUCACUAGAGUGUGGUAGAGGAUAGUGGAAUUUCCGGUGUAGCAGUGAAAUGCGUAGAGAUCGGAAGGAACAUCUGUGGCGAAGGCGACUAUCUGGGCCAACACUGACACUGAGGCACGAAAGCGUGGGGAGCAAACAGGAUUAGAUACCCCUGUAGUCCCUGUCUCUUAUAC
rnacentral:rRNA from 1 species